UUCGCAAUGCCCGAAAGGGUGACGAAGCGACGCCGCGUGUGGGAAGAAGGCCUUCGGGCUGUAAACCACUGUCGGGAGUUAGGAAAUGUAAGGGUGCUAAUAGUAUCCUUACUUGACUAAGGCUCCGGAGGAAGCCACGGCUAACUCUGUGCCAGCAGCCGCGGUAAUACAGAGGCGGCAAGCGUUGUUCGGAAUUAUUGGGCGUAAAGAGCACGUAGGCGGCCUUGUAAGUCAGUUGUGAAAGCCUUCUGCUUAACGGAAGAACAGCAGCUGAUACUGCAAGGCUAGAGUGCGGAAGGGGAGAGUGGAACUUCUGGUGGAGCGGUGAAAUGCGUAGAUAUCAGAAGGAACACCGGCGGCGAAGGCGACUCUCUGGUCCGUAACUGACGCUGAGUGUGCGAAAGCUAGGGGAGCAAACGGGAUUAGAUACCCCGGUAGUCCUAGCCGUAAAC
rnacentral:rRNA from 1 species